rnacentral:rRNA from 1 species
AGCAGUCGCCACGGGAAUACGUAGGUGGCAAGCGUUGUCCGGAAUUAUUGGGCGUAAAGGGCUCGCAGGCGGUUUCUUAAGUCUGAUGUGAAAGCCCCCGGCUCAACCGGGGAGGGUCAUUGGAAACUGGGAAACUUGAGUGCAGAAGAGGAGAGUGGAAUUCCACGUGUAGCGGUGAAAUGCGUAGAGAUGUGGAGGAACACCAGUGGCGAAGGCGACUCUCUGGUCUGUAACUGACGCUGAGGAGCGAAAGCGUGGGGAGCGAACAGGAUUAGAUACCCCAGUAGUCCCUGUCUCUUAUAC